rnacentral:rRNA from 1 species
UGGGGAAUUUUGGACAAUGGGCGCAAGCCUGAUCCAGCCAUGCCGCGUGAGUGAAGAAGGCCUUCGGGUUGUAAAGCUCUCUCGGCAGGAACGAAAUGGUACGUGCUAAUACCACGGACUGAUGACGGUACCUGAAGAAGAAGCACCGGCUAACUACGUGCCAGCAGCCGCGGUAAUACGUAGGGUGCAGGCGUUAAUCGGAAUUACUGGGCGUAAAGCGUGCGCAGGCGGUUUCUUAAGUCAGAUGUGAAAGCCCCGGGCUUAACCUGGGAACUGCGUUUGAAACUGGGAGACUUGAGUGUGGCAGAGGGGGGUGGAAUUCCACGUGUAGCAGUGAAAUGCGUAGAUAUGUGGAGGAACACCGAUGGCGAAGGCAGCCCCCUGGGCUAACACUGACGCUCAUGCACGAAAGCGUGGGGAGCAAACAGGAUUAGAUACCCUGGUAGUCCACGCCCUAAACUAUGUCAACUGGUUGUCGGGAGAUUAACUCUCUUGGUAACGAAGCUAACGCGUGAAGUUGACCGCCUGGGGAGUACGGCCGCAAGGUUA